rnacentral:tRNA from 1 species
UUAUGUUUAAAUAAUUUAAAAAGAAUAAAACUUUGAAGCAGUUUAUGUAGUGA